GCCACUGCGGGGCUACAUAGACGGGCUAAUCUAGCCUAUUAAUUGACACGCUUGCCGGCUUCGCUCCUGAGCGUAAGAAUUCAAAAUAAGACAGCCCAAUAUCUUCUUCGUUUAGGAAUAUUUAUUUGUCAUUCCAUCGUUGUCUUGAUCACUGUCACAUGUGAGCUGUUCCAGACAUUUACAUUCACUCCUGUUACCUCAUAGCGUGACGUACAGCGGUCAAAAAAGUGUAAUUGCUCCCCGUCUAGCAACACCUGACACCCCAGUGAUAGUUCCUACCUAUAUAGAGUUUCACCUUAACCUAAAGGCGACACCUGCUGGAACAAUUUGUGUUUGCACUUCAUAAACAUGGCUCCUACAGUGGUGUUGUUUGUCAUUCCCUGUCUGUUUAAUCCUCGUGUCUCUCCCCUGUCUGUGUGAGUGUGGUGGGUUCAUGUUCCCAGGCGGCGCCAGGUGCAGCUCGUUGGUCAUCAGGAUCUCUACUACAAAGACUUCCCUCUGCUUCACCUCGCCGCCAGAUUGUUUCACCAGCUCGCGUGAUCGCUGUUCGUGUUUUUUGCUUCACCUCACCUGUGCUUUUGGGACACCACACUGGGAUCACGGACACUGCCACUUGGAACCUCGCACUACCCCUCCCUUUGCACUUUUUGAGUCACAUUUGGAAUAAACUUUUUGUAACUUUA